rnacentral:rRNA from 1 species
UACGGGGGGGGCAAGCGUUGUUCGGAAUUACUGGGCGUAAAGGGCUCGUAGGCGGCCAACUAAGUCAGACGUGAAAUCCCUCGGCUUAACCGGGGAACUGCGUCUGAUACUGGAUGGCUUGAGAUUGGGAGAGGGAUGCGGAAUUCCAGGUGUAGCGGUGAAAUGCGUAGAUAUCUGGAGGAACACCGGGGGCGAAGGCGGCAUCCUGGACCAACACUGACGCUGAGUGAGCGAAAGCCAGGGGAGCAAACGGG